GACCUUCCUGCAGAGGUGGAAGAAAACGUCAUUACACUGGGAAUACAAAAGCCAGGAGACUUACUGCAGCUUCUUUCACAGCAUUGCAGUUAAGGACUGCCCUCUUCCAGUGAUGACAUCACACCAUUCCACCAUGCAGUGUGUCUCUGCAUGCUGGUUUUGAUCAUGUUCCAAACUGAAUGGGAAGGACCGCCGCAGCAGAGAUAAUCAGUGCACUUCCUCUGGUGAAAUUACAGUAAUUAUUAAAGGCCAGAAUUAGGCUUUA